UACGUAGGGUGCAAGCGUUGUCCGGAAUUAUUGGGCGUAAAGAGCUCGUAGGCGGUUUGUUGCGUCGGCCGUGAAAACUCAGGGCUUAACUCUGAGCCUGCGGUCGAUACGGGCAGACUUGAGUUCGGUAGGGGAGACUGGAAUUCCUGGUGUAGCGGUGAAAUGCGCAGAUAUCAGGAGGAACACCGGUGGCGAAGGCGGGUCUCUGGGCCGAUACUGACGCUGAGGAGCGAAAGCGUGGGGAGCGAACAGG
rnacentral:rRNA from 1 species